rnacentral:rRNA from 1 species
UUUAACUCGUACCUUUUGCAUCAUGAUUUAGCCAGUGUAACCCAAGCAAAGAGCACUUUAGUUUGACCACCCGAAACUUUGUGAGCUACUCCAAGGCAGCCUAAUCAAUAGGGCCAACCCGUCUCUGUGGCAAAAGAGUGGGAAGACCUUCGAGUAGAGGUGAUAAACCUACCGAACUUAGUAAUAGCUGGUUGCCCAAUAACUGGAUUAAGUUCAGCCUCCCGGCUUCUUCCUUCUCCAACCCCCUCUGUCUCAACAGAUUCUAUAAGAAACCAGGAGAGUUAGUCUAAGGGGGUACAGCCCCUUAGAAACAAGACACAACUUUUAUAGGAGGAUAAAGAUCAUAAUUAAUUAAGGCCGCAAGUUAGGGUGGGCUUGAAAGCAGCCAUCCGAUUAAAAAGCGUUAAAGCUCAAACACACGUCAUCACAGGCCCCAAGUUUCGACCACCACUUCUUACUCCCCUUAUCCCACUCGGCCGUCCCAUGCAAACAUGGGAGCGAUCCUGCUAAAAUCAGUAUAUAGGAGGGCCUAACGGCCCUCUCCCUGCAUACAUGUA